UUAAAUUGAAGAGUUUGAUCAUGGCUCAGAUUGAACGUUGGCGGCAGGCCUUAUACAUGCAAGUCGAGCGGAAACGAAGGGAGCUUGCUCCCAGGCGUCGAGCGGCGGACGGGUGAGUAACGCGUAGGAAUCUGCCCAGUAGCGGGGGAUAGCCCGAGGAAACUCGGAUUAAUACCGCAUACGCCCCACGGGGGAAAGGUCGGGACCUCUUCGGAGACCGAUCACUAUUGGAGGAGCCUGCGUUGGAUUAGCUAGUUGGUAGGGUAAAGGCCUACCAAGGCGACGAUCCAUAGCUGGUCUGAGAGGACGAUCAGCCACACUGGAACUGAGACACGGUCCAGAC
rnacentral:rRNA from 1 species